ensembl:lncRNA LINC00466 long intergenic non-protein coding RNA 466
AGAGCAGCGCGCGGGGCAGACCUCCUCGGGUCCUCCGGCGCUUCGGUCUCCGGAGACGCCCGGCCUCCUGAAGGGUUCGGCUUGUCCUCCUCUGGCGCUCAGCUCCCUCUGGCGGCCGGGCUGGCAGGACCUCAGCGCCCAGCCCUUCCGUCUUGUUACGUCCAGGGUCUCACUCUGUGUCUCAGGCUGGAGUACAGUGGUGCAAUUGUAGAUGGCUGCAGCCCUCGACCUCCUGGGCUCAAGUGAUCCUCCUGCCUUAGCCUCUCGAGUAGCUGGGAGUACAGAUGCACACCACCACACCCAGCCUAGAAUGAAGAAACCUGCAGUUGGGAAGCAUGAAUUUACCACCUAUUAAGAAUUGUGGCUUGCAUUGUAAGAGGAGCCUGUGAAUUCAGAGGCAAGUCUGCUGAGGACCGAAUGUUCCUGUCCAUAAAAACAGAAGUCUGGCCUGGGCUCCUCUCUUGGGUGAAUUUGCAAUGCCAGAUCCUCUCUAUCAGUUUGGUUUUGUUUCUUGUAUCUCUGGGAAGGCAGGCAGACAGCACGGUCACCUGUGAAUGCAGCUACAAUUGGCUUAGCUGCCUCACUGAUAAAUGUGCCCCCAGUAAGCUACAAAGGGAUUACCAGCGUUCUCAGCAGCUAAAGGAACUGGUGAAGAUUUCCCCAGCAAAAAGUAGAAGCUCAGUGUUUCAUAGAUGAAGACUGGGGAGAUUGCAAAAGACCCAUCCAGCAGUGGUUCUCAGACCUCAGUGUGCAUCAGAAUCACCUGGAAGGCUUGUGAAAACACGUAUUGCUGGGCCACACCCCCAGAAUUUCUGGAUCAGUAAAGCUGGGAUUCUUACUUUGAGUAGCCAACUUGCAGAAUACAAUAGAAUUUUGGGAGGAGCCCCUCGAUGCCUGGCUUUACUGUUGGAGAGACAGUACAGUAUACACCAGAUGACUUAUUUGUGAACCAUGGAAACGUUUGGAAAAGCCUACUUCAUGCUUUGAACAGAAGAGUUUUAUCAGUUUUAAAUGUUUCUUCAUUUCUAUACCUUCUUUUAUCUGAGGAGCUUAAGCCAUUUUGUAGAGGCAUUAAGUAUUGCCUCAGUCUUAAUAUGUGAGACAAGGUGUGAGGAAUAUAGAGAUUCAUAAAAUAAUCCCCAUCUUCAAGGAACUCACAGUCAGGAAGAACAGAGCCUGCAACACAAAUAAUUGCAAUAUAGUAGAAGUGCCAAUAGGAGCUCUAUGAAGGGCGUGAAACAGGAAAGGCUACAUAGAGGAGAUGGCAGACACUCUGUGGAUUGUGACCUGUUGGUGGGCCAUGAAAUCAAUUUGGGGGUUUGAGAGCAUCAUUCUUUUAAUAAAACAGAAGAGAAUCAUCUGCAAUAAGGAACCCAUGGAUGAAUACCAUCUGGUCCUGGUGAUUUACUGCACAGAGUCCCUCAAGUUGCUCCAUACCUUUCUCCUGAGAGACUGAAGAAUCUCUGUCAAGGCCGUUCUCUGCUUUGCCAUAAAAUGUGUCCUUGGAACAAGAAUUUCCCCAUUGUCUUCUUCAAUAAAUACUGAUUCAAAGUA